rnacentral:rRNA from 1 species
GACGUAGGUGGCAAGCGUUGUCCGGAAUUAUUGGGCGUAAAGCGCGCGCAGGCGGUUCUUUAAGUCUGAUGUGAAAUCCCACGGCUCAACCGUGGAAGGUCAUUGGAAACUGGGGGACUUGAGUACAGAAGAGGAAAGCGGAAUUCCAAGUGUAGCGGUGAAAUGCGUAGAGAUUUGGAGGAACACCAGUGGCGAAGGCGGCUCUCUGGGACGGUACUGACGCUGAGACGCGAAAGCGUGGGGAGCAAACAGG